GACGAGGGGUCCAAGCGUUGUUCGGAAUUAUUGGGCGUAAAGCGGGUGUAGGUGGCUCUAUAAGUCAGGAGUGAAAUCCCCGAGCUUAACUUGGGAAGUGCUUUUGAUACUGCAGAGCUUGAAUGUGGGAGAGGAUAAUAGAAUUCCAGGUGUAGUGGUGAAAUACGUAGAUAUCUGGAGGAACACCGGUGGCGAAGGCGACAUCCUGGACCGGUAUUGACGCUGAGGCGCGAAAGCCAGGGGAGCAAACGGG
rnacentral:rRNA from 1 species